ensembl:lncRNA
CAGGGGUCAUGGCGGUGGUUUGACGAUGGCCCCGGCGUGAGCGUGCGCUAGUCCCUGCCCAGUGGCGCAGAGUGCUUGUGUGUGUGUGUGUGUGCGAUGUUGUUUUGCUGUGUUUUUGUUUGUGUGUGUGUGUGUGUGUGUGUGUGCGUGAUGGAUGAGGCGGAGGUGAACAAAGAAGACCGGCCGCGCUGCAUCGCGUGGAACAGCGACGCGCGUCUCAUCAGACGCACUCGGUGAAGCACACGAGCAGAGAAGGAACAAGAAUGUGAUUUUCCUGGAGUCUUGACACCUGAUACGAGGCAGCAGGAGGGGUCCGAUACUCACAAAGCAGCAGAGACCAUUUAACUGAGACAAGCGAUAAAACGGAGGAACAACGCCUCCUUCUCACGGCUGAUCGACGGGAUUGAUUGCACCUCCUAACUGCUGCAGAACGUUCACCCCCCGUGCGACCGCAGCACGACCUCCACUGACCCCACGCCGGGAACAUGCAUCCCACUUAGGCUGGGGCACAUGUACAACAAGCCGCCCCCUCCCCGCUUCCCUUUUCACAUCUACACACACACACACA